CGCGCGACCCGUUUACAACCUCUUAACCGGCUUAGAUAACCAACUGAUACAGUACCUUGCCAGCUUGCCUUCUUCGCGGCUAUUAAUUCCCGAUUGAUUGUGUUGAUUGCUAAAUACAGAUUUCUUCUCUUCCAUUAUGGAAACAUAGAGAAGAAAUCCAUAUUGAGGCUGAGGAAGGCAACAUCCAUAUUCGAUCAGGAAUCUUUUAGCAGAGCUAUCAUCCAGCCAUGGAUUAAGGCUUUGGUUAGUUUGAGUGUUCUGUUCUCGCCCAAGAAUCCCACUGGGAGGCCUUUGCAGUCUUUGUGUGCUGCUUUUGGGGAUCAUUACUACAUGUGCAGGUUUCAGAAAACAUAUAUAUGAAGAUUCCGCAAUGAACUACCAGAUCCGACAGAACAACGAAAGCUUAUGACACUGAAAAGAGAUAAAGAUUGCUUAUUGAGAUCUCAGUUAUACGGUGAGUCGAUGACACCACUUAUGUAAAUAUAAUGCAAGUGAAGGUGGCCAUGAGCAACGAGUUAAUUAGAAGAAUGAUUCAGUUGUGCGAGCUGUGGAUCUGCUUGCAAAAGUCUAAGGGUAUAUUGUUUGUGUCCCUUUUAUUAGAAAUGCAGCAAAAGUAUCUAGGACAAAUAUAACUACUUUCAAAGCUUAUUUCUCUCGACCCGGAAUCAGAUGAUUGCUAAUUCUUGAUUGUCGUCGAUGAUCGAACAGGGAGGACGAACUCUGCUGGGUUCAGUCUUGCCGUCAUCUUCAAAACACGGGUUAUCACAUAGUUUGUGAUUUGAUAAUCAUCUGCUUACAGACCUUUGAAUGAAACACAAAGGAGGGUUCCCUGGUUCUGGCAUUACUCAGAGUGAUGAAAUCAAGAGCUCAUCUCAAACACAAGUAGAAGGCAGGGCACACGUUUCAGCACAACCACGUCCUUAUGCCAGGAUUCAACCAAACUGUGGUCAUCAAUUGCGUUUUAGCUGUCAGUGAUUGUACCCUAAACUCAUGACUUGCUUUUGUAGUGUAACUUCCCUUC